AUUGAACGCUGGCGGCAGGCCUAACACAUGCAAGUCGAGCGGAUGAAGGGAGCUUGCUCCUGGAUUCAGCGGCGGACGGGUGAGUAAUGCCUAGGAAUCUGCCUGGUAGUGGGGGAUAACGUCCGGAAACGGGCGCUAAUACCGCAUACGUCCUGAGGGAGAAAGUGGGGGAUCUUCGGACCUCACGCUAUCAGAUGAGCCUAGGUCGGAUUAGCUAGUUGGUGGGGUAAAGGCCUACCAAGGCGACGAUCCGUAACUGGUCUGAGAGGAUGAUCAGUCACACUGGAACUGAGACACGGUCCAGACUCCUACGGGAGGCAGCAGUGGGGAAUAUUGGACAAUGGGCGAAAGCCUGAUCCAGCCAUGCCGCGUGUGUGAAGAAGGUCUUCGGAUUGUAAAGCACUUUAAGUUGGGAGGAGGGGCAGUAAGUUAAUACCUUGCUGUUUUGACGUACCAACAGAAUAAGCACCGGCUAACUUCGUG
rnacentral:rRNA from 1 species